UACGAAGGGGGCUAGCGUUGUUCGGAAUUACUGGGCGUAAAGGGCGCGUAGGCGGUCUUGUAAGUCAGAUGUGAAAGCCCCGGGCUCAACCCGGGAAUAGCAUUUGAUACUGCGAGGCUUGAGUCCGGGAGAGGAUGGCGGAAUUCCCAGUGUAGAGGUGAAAUUCGUAGAUAUUGGGAGGAACACCGGUGGCGAAGGCGGCCAUCUGGACCGGUACUGACGCUGAAGUGCGAAAGCGUGGGGAGCAAACAGG
rnacentral:rRNA from 1 species